CCCUUUAAUGUUUGAUGUUCUAACGUUGACCCGUAAUCCGGGUUGCGGACAGUGUCUGGUGGGUAGUUUGACUGGGGCGGUCUCCUCCUAAAGAGUAACGGAGGAGCACGAAGGUUGGCUAAUCCUGGUCGGACAUCAGGAGGUUAGUGCAAUGGCAUAAGCCAGCUUGACUGCGAGCGUGACGGCGCGAGCAGGUGCGAAAGCAGGUCAUAGUGAUCCGGUGGUUCUGAAUGGAAGGGCCAUCGCUCAACGGAUAAAAGGUACUCCGGGGAUAACAGGCUGAUACCGCCCAAGAGUUCAUAUCGACGGCGGUGUUUGGCACCUCGAUGUCGGCUCAUCACAUCCUGGGGCUGAAGUAGGUCCCAAGGGUAUGGCUGUUCGCCAUUUAAAGUGGUACGCGAGCUGGGUUUAGAACGUCGUGAGACAGUUCGGUCCCUAUCUGCCGUGGGCGCUGGAGAACUGAGGGGGGCUGCUCCUAGUACGAGAGGACCGG
rnacentral:rRNA from 1 species